UGGGGAAUAUUGGACAAUGGGCGCAAGCCUGAUCCAGCAAUGCCGCGUGAGUGAUGAAGGCCUUAGGGUUGUAAAGCUCUUUCGCACGCGACGAUGAUGACGGUAGCGUGAGAAGAAGCCCCGGCUAACUUCGUGCCAGCAGCCGCGGUAAUACGAAGGGGGCUAGCGUUGCUCGGAAUUACUGGGCGUAAAGGGCGCGUAGGCGGCCUGUUUAGUCAGAAGUGAAAGCCCCGGGCUCAACCUGGGAAUAGCUUUUGGAUACUGGCAGGCUUGAGUUCCGGAGAGGAUGGUGGAAUUCCCAGUGUAGAGGUGAAAUUCCGUAGAUAUUGGGAAGGAACACCGGUGGCGAAGGCGGCCCAUCUGGGACGGACACUGACGCUGA
rnacentral:rRNA from 1 species